UAAGAGAGAGGAGCUCAGCCAUGGCAGCUCACGGCCAUGGCUGACCUUGAGCAAAAUGAUGAUUUCCAUGGCAAAUCAAGCCCUAAAGUGUUCUACAUAUUUAUCUUCAUGUUCCAAUGGAGAGAGGAACCACAAACAACCAUGGCUGCUCUUGUAAGCUCACGGCCAUGGCUGUUCUUGAAGAGGAUUAUGAUCUUGAUCAAAAAAUAUAUUUUCCAAGGUAUUCCAACCGAUUGAAGGUCAUAGAAACGUGGAUUAAUUGUUUGGGGGCAGCAAGAGUGUCAAGUAAUUGAAGUUGCCAAAUUCAGCAAGUUAAGGAGCUAAGUGGUUAAGGCUAAGACGACUCGGGCAGCGUAUACGUGUUGUGAUGCGAAUAAACGCUAAAGGUAUGUAAAGCCUAUCCCUUCUUUCUUUUGGCAUGUCUUAGACGUAAGUGAUGAAUGAUAUAAGCUUUGGGAUAAUUCCAUUCAUAAGUUCCGAAUAUGAUUCAUGAUUCUUAUUCACUUCUUGAUGUUAGAACUUUUAAAGUAGUUAAGCUACUGCCCUCGAGCUUUCUAUAUGUUGGAUAGUAUAAUCGGAUGUAUAAGUUUCUAUUCCUAAAGGCUCUAUAAUGACUAAUGACUCUGACUUCAUAAGUUAUUUCACAUUAUCUCGAUACAUGCCUAUGAUUCCUGAGGCUCCCUUUGAUAUAGUUCAUAAUGAUAUUUAAAGAGUACUUAACAUGACUAUCGCUUGGACACUCGAAUGUUAGCUAGUCUACUUGUCUAUCGAGUCUCAGAUGAUGAUUUAAUUGCAUGUGGUUACUCACUACUCUACUCGUGCAUACUGUUGUUACAUCUUUCACCGAGUCCCGGGCCGGGUAUGUUAUCAUGCACAGUUUUACUACAUUAUUCACCGAGUCCCAUAAUGGGCCGGGUACGGUAUAUGAUGAUAUGAUGAUAUGAUUAUUCACCGAGUCCCAUAAUGGGCCGGGUACGGUAUACGAUAAUAUGAUUAUUCACCGAGUCCCAUAGUGGGCCGGGUACGGUAUAUGAUGAUAUGAUGAUAUGACUAUCCACCGAGUCCCAUGAUGGGCUGGGUACGGUAUAUGAUAAUGAUAUGCAUGACUUGUUUUGUAAGACACAGGUACAGUGAUUUAUUGAUUAUCAUACUUGUCUCCUGGAAUCUUUACUUCAGUUAUGAUCUUCCAUAUUGUAUUUCAUGCUUUACAUACUCAGUACAUAUCUCGUACUGACCCCCCUUUCUUCGGGUGGGUGGGGGGGAGGGGGGGCGUUCAUGCCCGCAGGUACAGAUACUUGAUUUGGUGACCCUCCAGUUUAGGACUUCUACUCAGCUGUCUUGGAGUGCUCCAUUGUUCCGGAGUCUAGACUUUUAGCACAUAUCUACUAAUAUAUGUAUAUGUUCAUUCAGGGGUACGGCGGGGCCCUGUCCCGUCUUAUGUUACUGUUGAUACUCUUAGAGGUCUGUAGACCUAUGUGUGGGUUGUAUAUAGAUGUUGUUUAGUUAUGCCUAUAUGACUUAUGUUGGGACGUUCCCGUAUGUAGUGGCAGCCUUGUCGGCUUGCGUAUAUAUAUAUAUAUAUAUAUCUUGGGAUGUUGUAUGUAGUGGCAGCCUUGUCGGCUUGCGUAUAUAUAUAUCUUGGGAUGUUGUAUGCAGUGGCAGCCUUGUCGGCUCGUGUAUUAUGAUAUCUUUUGAUUAGUUGUGACUCCUCAGGAGACAGGUUACCAUGAUA